GGACAAGGUGCUUGUGGCGAUGAGUAUCAGAAGGCAGAGCGGAGCUGCUCGAGCGAGGCUGGCUCUGUGGAGGUCUCCUGGAGGCAAGGCAACCUUGCUUGCCCUCUAUUGCAGAAUAACAAGGGGCUUAGCCACAGGAGUUGCUGGCAAGUGGAAAGAAGAACAAAUGAGUCAAUCCCGACGUGUCAAUCCCGAUGAUAGAGAGCUCGGAGGUGAUCCACAAAUCCAAGCACCCAGAUAUCAAUUGGGAUCCUUGGCAGAUGGACAUCAGUGUUAUUUACUAACCAGCAGGAUGGAGACCACACCCUUAAAUUCUCAGAAGCAGCUAUCCGCGUGUGAGGAUGGAGAAGAUUGUCAGGAAAACGGAGUUCUACAGAAGGUUGUUCCCACCCCAGGGGACAAAGUGGAGUCCGGGCAAAUAUCCAAUGGGUACUCAGCAGUUCCAAGUCCUGGUGCGGGAGAUGACACACGGCACUCUAUCCCAGCGGCCACCACCACCCUAGUGGCUGAGCUUCAUCAAGGGGAACGGGAGACGUGGGGCAAGAAGGUGGAUUUCCUUCUCUCAGUGAUUGGCUAUGCUGUGGACCUGGGCAAUGUCUGGCGCUUCCCCUACAUAUGUUACCAGAAUGGAGGGGGGGCAUUCCUCCUCCCCUACACCAUCAUGGCCAUUUUUGGGGGAAUCCCGCUCUUUUACAUGGAGCUCGCACUGGGACAGUACCACCGAAAUGGAUGCAUUUCAAUAUGGAGGAAAAUCUGCCCGAUUUUCAAAGGGAUUGGUUAUGCCAUCUGCAUCAUUGCCUUUUACAUUGCUUCCUACUACAACACCAUCAUGGCCUGGGCGCUGUACUACCUCAUCUCCUCCUUCACGGACCAGCUGCCCUGGACCAGCUGCAAGAACUCCUGGAACACUGGCAACUGCACCAAUUACUUCUCCGAGGGCAACAUCACCUGGACCCUCCAUUCCACGUCCCCUGCUGAAGAAUUUUACACGCGCCACGUCCUGCAGAUCCACCGGUCUAAGGGGCUCCAGGACCUGGGGGGCAUCAGCUGGCAGCUGGCCCUCUGCAUCAUGCUGAUCUUCACUGUUAUCUACUUCAGCAUCUGGAAAGGCGUCAAGACCUCUGGCAAGGUGGUGUGGGUGACAGCCACCUUCCCUUAUAUCAUCCUUUCUGUCCUGCUGGUGAGGGGUGCCACCCUCCCUGGAGCCUGGAGGGGUGUUCUCUUCUACUUGAAACCCAAUUGGCAGAAACUCCUGGAGACAGGGGUGUGGAUAGAUGCAGCCGCUCAGAUCUUCUUCUCUCUUGGUCCGGGCUUUGGGGUCCUGCUGGCUUUUGCUAGCUACAACAAGUUCAACAACAACUGCUACCAAGAUGCCCUGGUGACCAGCGUGGUGAACUGCAUGACGAGCUUCGUUUCGGGAUUUGUCAUCUUCACAGUGCUCGGUUACAUGGCUGAGAUGAGGAAUGAAGAUGUGUCUGAGGUGGCCAAAGACGCAGGUCCCAGCCUCCUCUUCAUCACGUAUGCAGAAGCGAUAGCCAACAUGCCAGCGUCCACUUUCUUUGCCAUCAUCUUCUUUCUGAUGUUAAUCACGCUGGGCUUGGACAGCACGUUUGCAGGCUUGGAGGGGGUGAUCACAGCUGUGCUGGAUGAGUUCCCACACAUCUGGGCCAAGCGCCGGGAGUGGUUUGUGCUCGCCGUGGUCAUCACCUGCUUCUUUGGAUCCCUGGUCACCCUGACUUUUGGAGGGGCCUACGUGGUGAAGCUGCUGGAGGAGUAUGCCACGGGGCCCGCAGUGCUCACUGUCGCGCUGAUCGAAGCAGUCGCUGUGUCUUGGUUCUAUGAAGAAAUCUUCCCACCUCCUUGGCAAUUCUGACGACCAAGUUCAAGUGUGUGAAUCUCCAUAGACCUGCCCUAGGAACUGCUGGGACCUCUCAGGGAAGCAACCACAGAGCACCUUCCCCUUCUCAAUUUCUCACUCUUCUUUGGGAGUUCUCAGUUCUCACUUCCUUACCAGUUACUUUUUAUAGAAGAACCUUGAUCUUGAUCUGGCAUAUGAAUGGGCAAUAUUGUGGUUAAAAAUUUCCCUUGAAAGUUUCCAGUGUCAUGGUCAAAGUCAGUGUCUGUCAGGCGGGUUCACCAUUCCUGGACAAAAUUCAACUGUUUUAUAAUAACAAUGAAAUCAGAUACACACUCAGCUCUCAGGAAGGCGGUGUGGCACCAAGAAGGGGUAUGUGUCUCUUCCCAGAUGCCCAUCCAUCCUCCCAGAUGUCCACCCAUCCUUCCAGAUGCCCAUCCGUCCUCCCACCCUAUGUAGAAAGAGUCUUGCUUGCUAUAAAAAUGCAGUUUUGUGACAAGUCCCCCAGCCCCACUUUCGGACCAGAUUGUUGUCGCUGUACUCCUCCUAGAGAGAAAUUCCAGAGCUACCCUGUGUGUCCGGGGUUGGAAUUCCGGCUUGUCAUUUCCCCUUGUCAUUCCCAGUGCUGAUCCUGUGACUCUGACUCUCCCAGAGAAUCAGGGCACAGCAGCACAGCCCAUGUCCUUUCUCAGUCUCUGCCUCUCUUCCCCUUGGGCGGUUCCAGGCAUCACUCAGUUCUGCAGGGACGUGAAGGAAAUGCUCGGCUUCAGCCCGGGGUGGUUCUGGAGGAUCUGCUGGGUGGCCAUCAGCCCUCUGUUUCUCCUGUUCAUCAUUUGCAGUUUUCUGAUGAGCCCGCCACAACUACGACUUUUCCAAUAUAAUUAUCCUUACUGGAGUAUCAUCUUGGGUUACUGCAUAGGAACCUCAUCUUUCAUUUGCAUCCCCACAUAUAUAGCUUAUCGGUUGAUCAUCACUCCAGGGACAUUUAAGGAGCGUAUUAUUAAAAGUAUUACCCCGGAAACACCAACAGAAAUUCCUUGUGGGGACAUCCGCUUGAAUGCUGUGUAACAUGCUCACCAAGGGGAAAAAGGCUUCUCCACAACCUCCUCUUCCAGUUCUGACGAGGCACGCCUGCCUUCUCCCCUCCAAGUGAAUGAGCUUCCAGCUAAGCCUGAUGAUGGAAGGGCCUUCUCCACAGGGACACAGUCUGGUGCCCAGACUCAAGGCCUCCAGCCACUUAUUUCCAUGGACUCCCCUGGACAUAUUCCCACGGUAGACUGUGACACAGCUGAGCUGGCCUAUUUUGGACGUGUGAGGAUGUGGAUGGAGGUGAUGAAAACCACCCUAUCAUCAGUUAGGAUUAGGUUUAGAAUCAAGUCUGUGAAAGUCUCCUGUAUCAUUUCUUGGUAUGAUCAUUGGUAUCUGAUAUCUGUUUGCUUCUAAAGGUUUCACUGUUCAUGAAUACGUAAACUGCGUAGGAGAGAACAGGGAUGCUAUCUCGCUAGCCAUAUAUUUUCUGAGUAGCAUAUAGAAUUUUAUUGCUGGAAUCUACUAGAACCUUCUAAUCCAUGUGCUGCUGUGGCAUCAGGAAAGGAAGAUGUAAGAAGCUAAAAUGAAAAAUAAUGUGUCCAUG